GUUGAUGAGGAUUCAUUCACUCUCUGUCACAAUUACCAACCAUUUUUAUUAGUGGGGCUUGCGAAGCAAGAGUCCCCACUUUAAAUCUUCGACAUACUUCUUCUUCUUCUUAUUCUUUGGCACGCUACACCGUUUAAGCUAGAAACGCCGUUCAAACUUUAAAACGUGUAGACCGGUCUGGAAUAGUGUGCUUGUAUACAACUUUUUGAUAUCUUUUAUACUUUUUAAACUAUUAAGCUUUUUAUCCUUUUUUCUUCCUUCACUUUAAUGGGACUUUUUGAACAUUCUAAAGCUCCCCAUUGUUUAAAAACUCCCAGACUUCCAACAUUCUAUUUACUGUAAACGAUGUAACUUUUGACACAGAUCAGCUACUUUGACCACUUUCCCAACAAGUAAGACAAAAAGUUAGAGCACAUGGAAUCUUCCUCUACUUCUCUGCUAUUCAAAUCUGAAAUCAAAACAGAAAUAACUUUUACCAAUCAAGAGAUACAGCUGUUUUAGUAACCGCUUCAACUAAAAUUCUCUAACUUUUUAUAAACAACUGAAAUUUUGACCACUUUCCCAACAAGCUAGACAAAAAGUUAAAGGGUAUGACAUCUUCCUCUACUUCUCUGGUAUUCAAAUUUGAAAUCAAAACAUAAAUAACUUUUACCAAUCAAGAGGUACACCUGUUUUAGUAACCGCACCAACAAAAAUUUUCUCUAACUUUUUAUAAACCGCCAUUUUGACCACUUUCCCAACAAGUUAGACAACUACUUAGAGCAAAUGAAAUCUUCCUCUACUUCUCAGCUAUUCAAAUAUGAAAUCAAAACAGGAAUGGCGUCUACCAAUCAUGAGGUACAGCUGUUUUAGUAACCGCAUCUACUACUUUCAGUAGGCUACUUCCCACUGUUGAAUUAACUGUCAUAGAACUUUGAGAAAUUUCAAAUUCUAGCACAUUCUAAGCAUGAGACAAUUAAUAAACAAUGUGACUUUUGACACAAAUCAGCUACUUUGACCACUUUCCCAAUAAAGCAAGCCCCACAACUUGUAAAGUUACCAUCUAGUUUGUUUUGUUUUUGUUUUACAGGCAUUAAACAGCCAAGCCAUGCUGUAUUGGUUGCAGCAGCUGCAAAUAAAAUGGUGGCAGCACAAUACCAGCCUGGUGAAAAUACCUGCAGAGCCCUCCACUACCUCCACACAGCUCUGCCAGCUGCCUUCUGCACCUUGGGAAGGAAGGACAGAGGACUUCCUCCCAGCAGUAAAGACCCCCAAGGGCCUAGUCGGAGAAGCCGCAGCCUGUCUGCCAGACCCCUGGCAACAAAAUGCACUGCAAAAGCUCUCCCUCAAGCACCCCAUCACAGAGAUACAGAACACAGUCCUCAAUAUCUGUGGAAACAAGCCAGCUCAGGAGCUGAGGCGGAGUGUGUUCAACUUUGACAAGAUUCAGCAGUCGCAAGACUGUCCCUGUGAGGAUCCUGUGACACAGAUACUGGGGGAAACAACAGGUGCGUCCUUCAGUUGACAGGAAACUGCCCUGCAAAGUCUGUGUCUCUGCUUAGUUCAUGUCUGGAUCAGUUCAAUGCGGGGACCACCACAGUGGCUCUGAAACUAUUACAUUCUUCUCAUGCAGGCACCUCCAGCACCGCCUCUGACACCCCCAGCACCUACAGUCCUUUCAGCUUCUUCAGUUUCUUCAGUUACAAACGAGUCUGCGCAGGAAACAAAGACUGGAGGAAAGAGUUCUCCAUCAAGCAGCAUGAACAAGAGGGAGAAGAAAAUGACCAGUUCUCUUCAGCCUUCUGGGGAGAAGGUGUCAGUAAAGGAGGGGAGCCCCGUGGACAAACUAUCCUGACUCCAGCACGAGGUGUUCACGCUCACUGAGGGGCUCAAGUCACAAAAGGAGCUGGUGCGACUCCUUCACAAGGCCCUGGAGGCAGCACAGCAGGAGAAGAGGACCAGCAAACAGUUCCUGGCAGCAGCAGGGGAGCAGGAGCGGCUGGAGCUGGUGCGGCACAAAGAGAGGUGUAUCGCGGACCU